GGAUAUGAGGGAGAUCUGACGACAUCUGUCACCCAUUGAUCGCCAGAUAUCAUUUCACUGAUCUUGCUGGCUAGGCGGAUGUCCCCUUCCUUAUUCACUGCUUCACACGCGUCUGUUGGGAAGCUGAGUGCUUGGUCGAAGAGGACAGACUUCCCAAAAUAGAGACAGACUGGUCUAAGGUCUUAGGUCUUAGAUCUUAGGUGGGUAAUGAGUAACGGGACUCUCUUGCUAGAACCUCCAAACAAGUUUCCAACUAGAACACACUUCAAAGAUAGUUUGUCUUCAGAUUCUUUAACUUCCUGUUUGACAAUAUCUACGUAGUUAUUAACA
rnacentral:snRNA from 1 species